rnacentral:rRNA from 1 species
UACGUAGGGUGCGAGCGUUGUCCGGAAUUAUUGGGCGUAAAGGGCUCGUAGGCGGUUUGUCGCGUCGGGAGUGAAAACUCAGGGCUUAACCCUGAGCCUGCUUCCGAUACGGGCAGACUAGAGGUAUGCAGGGGAGAACGGAAUUCCUGGUGUAGCGGUGAAAUGCGCAGAUACCAGGAGGAACACCGGUGGCGAAGGCGGUUCUCUGGGCAUUACCUGACGCUGAGGAGCGAAAGCGUGGGGAGCAAACAGG